GACCACGUAGCUCAGUUGGCAGAGCAUUGGGCUAGUAUUCCAAAGGUCGUAGGUUCGAUUCCCACCGUGGCCU